UAUCUGGUUGAUCCUGCCAGUAGUCAUAUGCUUGUCUCAAAGAUUAAGCCAUGCAUGUCUAAGUACAAACCUUAAUACGGUGAAACCGCGAAUGGCUCAUUAAAUCAGCUAUGGUUCCUUAGAUCGUCUCAUCCUACUCGGAUAACUGUGGAAAAUCUAGAGCUAAUACGUGCUUACAAGCCCUGACCUCACGGGAGGGCGCAUUUAUUAGAUCAAAACCAAUCGGGGCUUGCCCCGUCUGCUUGGUGACUCUGGAUAACUUUUGUGCUGAUCGCAUGGCCUCUGCGCUGGCGACGUAUCUUUCAAGUGUCUGCCCUAUCAACUUACGAUGGUAGGUGAUAUGCCUACCAUGGUUAUAACGGGUAACGGGGAAUCAGGGUUCGAUUCCGGAGAGGGAGCCUGAGAAACGGCUACCACAUCUAAGGAAGGCAGCAGGCGCGCGCAAAUUACCCACUCCCGGCACGGGGAGGUAGUGACGAAAAAUAACGAUACGGGACUCUUUUGAGGCCCCGUAAUUGGAAUGAGUACACUUUAAAUCCGUUAACAAGUAUCUAUUGGAGGGCAAGUCUGGUGCCAGCAGCCGCGGUAAUUCCAGCUCCAAUAGCGUAUAUUAAUGUUGCUGCAGUUAAAAAGCUCGUAGUUGGAUCUGAGGACUCGAAUUGGUGGUGCACCAUACGGUGUUACUGCCGAUUCGGCCUACCUAGUCGGUGCUCGCUCUUGGUGUUCUUAAUUGAAUGCCCUGAGUGCCCGGCAAGUUUACUUUGAAAAAAUUAGAGUGC
rnacentral:ncRNA from 1 species